CUCUGUUUUCUUUUCAUUUUUGGCUCUACUGAUGUUUGGACUACAUGUGUAGGGUGUCUUAAGGAUGUAUUAGUGCAUUGAAGAGAUAAGUACAUUGCCAAAGGACUGGAAUUAAGGGAACAGUGUCUCUCUUGAAAAAACUGAAGGUGUCAUAAACAUCCAAAGCAAAAUAACAUUCUUCUCCCUGCUCUGGUAUAGCUGUUCCUGAUAUUAUUAACACACAGAAAGGCAAUGCAGAUCACAGAACUCAGCUCACAGCAGUUCUGAGUUGACAAAUUGAAAAAUAAAUGAAGUAAGAGGGACCA
rnacentral:lncRNA from 1 species